UACGAAGGGGGCGAGCGUUGUUCGGAUUUACUGGGCGUAAAGGGCGCGUAGGCGGCCUUCCAAGUCAGGCGUGAAAGCCCCGGGCUCAACCUGGGAGGUGCGCUUGGGACUGGCGGGCUGGAGUUCGGGAGAGGAGCGUGGAAUUCCCAGUGUAGAGGUGAAAUUCGUAGAUAUUGGGAAGAACACCGGUGGCGAAGGCGGCGCUCUGGACCGAGACUGACGCUGAGGCGCGAAGGCGUGGGGAGCAAACAGG
rnacentral:rRNA from 1 species